rnacentral:rRNA from 1 species
GAUGAACGCUAGCGGCAGGCUUAAUACAUGCAAGUCGUGGGGCAGCAUGAAUGUAGCAAUACAUUUGAUGGCGACCGGCAAACGGGUGCGGAACACGUACACAACCUUCCUAUAAGUGGGGAAUAGCCCAGAGAAAUUUGGAUUAAUACCCCGUAACAUAAUGAUGUGGCAUCACAUUAUUAUUAUAGCUACGGCGCUUAUUGAUGGGUGUGCGGCUGAUUAGAUAGUUGGCGGGGUAACGGCCCACCAAGUCUACGAUCAGUAGCUGAUGUGAGAGCAUGAUCAGCCACACGGGCACUGGGACACGGGCCCGACUCCUACGGGAGGCAGCAGUAAGGAAUAUUGGUCAAUGGACGCAAGUCUGAACCAGCCAUGCCGCGUGAAGGAUUAAGGUCCUCUGGAUUGUAAACUUCUUUUAUCUGGGACGAAAAAAGGCGAUUCUUCGUCACUUGACGGUACCAGAUGAAUAAGCACCGGCUAACUCCGUGCCAGCCGCCGCAGUAAGAC